UGGGUUGCCAUUCCCUCCUCCAGGGAAUCUUCCUGACAUGGGAAUCGAACCUGCAUCUCCUGCAUUGCAGGCCGAUUCUUUACUGUCUGAGCCAUCAGGGAAGGGAAUCUCAGACACACUGGCUGGAGGCCAGGCCUCACUGUGAGCCCUCCAGGUCUUUUAACCAACGUUCAGUGAGCAUUGAUAACGUCAGGACACUUUGCUGGAUGCAUGGUGUUACGGGUUGAAUUGUGUCCCCUUGAAUGUUUUGCAGUUCUAACUCCAGUCCCUGUGAAUGCAACCUUAUUUGAAAAUAGGGUCUUUGCAUGUGAUCAAGUUAAGAUGAAGUCAUGAGGGAGGGCGCUAAUCCAAAGUGACUGGCUCCUUAUAAAAGGGAAAUUUGGACACAGAAAGACCAGUCACACAGGGAGAACGCCAUGUGGAAAUUAGUGUUCGGCUGCUACAAGCCAAGAGGCUACCAGAAGCUAGGAGAGAGCCUGGAGCAGAUCCUCCCUUCAUGCCUUCAGUGGGGCGUGGCCCUGCGCAGACCUUAAGCUCAGACUUCUAGCCUCCAGAACUGUGAGACAAUAUGUUUCUGUUGUUUAAGCCACCCAAUUUGUGGUACAAUAUUUUGGUAACCUCAGGCUGUGCUGUGCUUAGUUGCUCAGUCGUGUCUGACUCUGCGACCCCAUGGACUGUAGCCUGCAGGGCUCCCCUGUCCGUGGGGAUUCUCCAGGCAAGAAUACUGAAGUGGGUUGCCAUGGCCUCCUCCAGGGGAUCUUCCCAACCCAGGGAUUGAACCCAGGUCUCCCACACUGCAGGUGGAUUCUUUACUGCCUGAGCCACCAGGGAAGCACCAGGAAACUAAUACAAAUGGGCAGCCAUGAAGAUGAAAAGGAUAGGACUUCCUGCCCUCAUGGAGCUCACUGUCUCUAAGGGCAUGGGAAGAAACAGUUGUAUUUCAAGCCGAACGAAGUACAUAAAAUAACAAAAAGCAAGGACACUGUUCUGGUUGUGCAAGCUGGAGAGUAAUGCCAACUGUAGAAUGCAAGGUGAAGCUUCACACUUUGAUUUGUUUAUUCUUUUCCCCACAUUUUCAUUUAUUCACAGGGAGCUGUCAAUUAUAUUAAUCAAAAGUAUAAGCUUUGGAAUCACAAGUUCAAAUUUUGCUCACUUAGUUUUUAGUGAUGUGAUCCUGGGAAUGUUAUUUGUUGUUGUUAUUAUUCAGUCACUAAGUUGUGUCUGACUCUUUGCAGUCUUGUGGACUGCAGCACACCAGGCCUCCCUGUCCUUCACUACCUCCUGGAGUUGGCUCAAAUUCAUGUCCGAUGAGUUGGUAAUGCUAUCUAACCAUUUCACCAUUUCUGUCGCCCCCUUCUCCUUUUUAUAUCUUCAUUAAGGCUCUUUUUCCCCAAUCUGUAAAAUGAGGAUAAUCAUACUUAAAUCAUAGAGUCAUUAUCUUUGUUAAAUAAACAGUAUAUUGGAAUCUAUAUAUGCAUAUAUCAUAUAUAUAUAUAAUAUGUAUAAAUAUUUCAGUACAGUGCCUGACACACAGGAAGUGGCAUAAAUGGAGUUGAUUAUCUGCAGCAGAGGCAUCAGCAGUUCUAUUUAUCCACAAAAUUCAUUGUGUCUGCUAUGAGUCAGUCAACAUGUUUGGGAUACAAAAGUAAGGCAAUUGUUCCUGCCUUCAAGGCGUUCACAGUCAAGCUCCUUCCUGUCACAGAGACAAAUGUGGAAGCAAACAAUUACAAAAUAAUAGAAUAAGUAGUGGUAGAGGUAGAUGUCAAGGGAGAACCAAAUCUGGGGUGUCUCAGUGAGGGAUCAGGGUAGAGGCAAAGAGGUGAUGCUUGAGUUGGGCUCUGAAGGAUGAGUAAGAGUGUGUUGAGGAGAAGGCCAUUCCAAGGAGAAGGAAGGAGUGUGUACAAAGAAGCAGAAACAGGGAAGAAUGGGCAACCACGUUUGGAGAAGGGCAAAUUGUUUGGUACAAUGGAAGCAGAGGAGCCUGGAGGUGAUCGUGGAAAGAUGGGCAGGGCCAUGUUACAAAAGCUCUCUAUGCCAGUCAAAGGAGUUUGGACUUACAUCUCUAGGCAAUGAGAGCUUUUGAGAGACUUUUUGUUUUUUAGUAAUGGAUGCUAAGUAAGGGUAAGCUUUUAGACAUGGUCCUCUAGCAUUAGUGAGAAGGUGAGAAAAGAGGCAGGGGAAACCAGUUAGGAGGUGAUCAUAUUAGUCAAGACCACAAACUAUGAAGACUAGCGCUGAGUCAGCAGUGGUGGGUGGGCUCGGGAAAUGGGAGACAGUGUGAGCUGACAUCUGUGAUGCCUUGUGGCUGCCCUUCAUUUUUUAAACACUCUUCCAAUGCUUCGGGAAUUUCCCAGGAAGCCUUCCUGACAGAUGAGGAACAGGCAUGUGAUCUAGGCUUUGCCCAUUAGUACCUGAUUUUAAAAAAGAGGGACGUGAAGAAAGAGAUAACAGGGAACACAUUCUGCAGAGGAGAGUGGGGGCCACUGGGUUUUGAGAGACAGUGGUCCUAGCUAUAAUUUCCCACUCUGGAGUUUGUUGUGAUCUUUGGGGCCUGGGUCAGCGGUGACAGGUUUCCUCUGGACAGCUUGGCAGGGUGAUUUGGGCAUUGCUCUUGUCUGCAAAUCUGCCAAGUUGGACCUUCGGCCCUCCUGAAGACGCUGUGUGCUACCUGAUAGUUUAUGCUCACCGUCUUGGUUUGAGAAGGAAGUCGGCAAUGACUUGGAGACCAUGCCAUACUUGUAACAUGGGCUUGAGAGUCCAGAGCGGGGAGAGUAAAGGAAAUGACAAGGCACCCUUUGGAGGAUGAGGACAGAAAUCCAUGUAGGAAAAUAAUCACACCUUGGGGAUCAUGAAGGGUCUGAGAUACUUUAUUGAAAAGCAGUAAGGAUAAUGUGGGAUAGAAGACAAGAGGAACUGCGUUCAGGUGCUAGAAGAAUUCUUUGGCUACUAUGGAUUUUGAAAUGGCUAGCCCUUCUUCAGGUGAUACUUGAUGGGAUUGUCAGGGGCAAAAAAAUAGCCCUGUUAUUAACUAGCAAACCUCGGGAGACACUAAGUGUCUUGGAUAAAGGAGAGAGAGAGGUAAGUGUGCCAUUUUAGCAUAUUACUAACCCUUGUCAGCAGAGAGGAGGUUUUCUUUAAAGAGAGGCACUAAACACAUUUUCACAUUAUACCUACAGAGAGGGUCCCCCGGAGCCAAAGGCAGGUUGCCAUCCAGGAACAUAGUAUUCUCCCAGCUCAGCAGGUCAUGAGGACCUCGUUCUUAAACCUGGGACUGUUGCCAGCUUGUGGAGAGACACUUUGGCUACUCAUAUAGCUCACAGGCCUGGGAAGAGUGUCUUUGUUCCACAUCUUACUGGGUGGCCAUGAAAUUGUAGGCCUGGUGAAAAACCAUCUUCCUCAAAGUGCUGCAGAUGGUUGGGGGCCAGAGGCAGAGGGCUGUGGUCCCAAACGGUGAUGCUCAGAAGCCUCUUUAGUUAUCGUAGAGUCUGAACUUCCAGGCAGAUCUAUUUCUUGAACAAGCCAUGGGCCUCUGCAGGUGAGAUGGAACAUCGGAUGGCCCAAGUCAUAAAUGACUGUUUUGUCACUAAAUCGGCUAGCUUGUGCCACAAGUUUUACAGGCAGACAAGUAUUUGAUGAGUAUUCGUGGUGGGAAAGUGAGGUGGUACAGGCUAAGUCAUGUGGAACAGGCAGCACUUUUAGCUUCCACCUGUUAAAUGCCUUGGCUCUGAAGGCCAUUUUAUCUCAGGGAAUAUUUCAGACCCAGCAUCUAAGGUCAGAGUUAAAAAAAAAAAAAAAAAAAAAAGGAGGAGCAGGACAAGAACUGCUGGUAGGAAAGGGAGAGUCAGGAUUAAGAGGUGGGAGGAGAGAGUUCCAAGAAGGUAGUGUUAAAAACCCUGUGAAGUCAAGCCCCAACAAGGGUUCUCCUCCCAACCCCUGGUGUUGUUUGAACCAACAGAAAGAGACCAGGUUUGGUUCAGAAGCAAAGGAAAGCUGUCUUCUUUGAUCAGAGGAUGUAGAGGCAGAUAGAUGCUCAGGCUCUAGAGCACAUGCCGUGGGAUAAAAGAGGAUCAUUGGAAAUGAAUCUUCAUUUUAACCUGUAUCAGAAGGCAAGGGCUUUUUAUAGUCUGAAAGUUCCUAAGGGUUUUCUUUUGUAAUCCUAGCUUGUCCUAAUUCUCUCCCAUUCCCCAUGGUUGCAGAUGAGAUUUGAAAGUGGCAGGAGAACGCUAAGUGGGAAAGAAUCACUACUCAAGUCAAAACUACUUGAGUUACAUAUGAGACCCUUGAUUGUUUCCAAAGCAUCAUUCAAAGCACAAUAAAAGUAAGUUUGACUUUUAAUUGUUACACCUUAGGUAAUGAAGGGCCCCUAAUAAGGUUCUCCCAAUUUAUUCUCAUUCCUAUAUCCUUGGGGAAAAGAUUUCUGAGAGUGAGUUGAGCUUAAGGCAAAUGAAGCCAUAGUACCAGGGGAAAAAAUCCACUAAUAUUUCUUGUAGCAGAUUUAGUACUGCCAGAAAAGGAUACCUAAGGGAUUAUAUGUAGAGAACAAACACGGUAAUCUUGAUGUUAUGAUGGGGGACAUUUCACUGAUUAACUUUUUGAAUAGUUUGCUAUCUACUAACUUUGAAGUAUUUCUUACAAAAAGAUGGCUGUGGGAAGGUUAUAUUCAAACACACCUGGAUAAAUCACCCAUUGUUUUGGUGAACUCACCUGUUUUUUCUAUCUGAUAAGUUACCCAGCCUUGGAGCACUAGAAAUACUUACCGAGAUCAUUAAUUAUAUUUCCCAUCAUGGACACACUGUGUUCAGGAAGGGCUGUCGUGGCCACUGCUGGGAACUGAGAACAGACAAGCUGUCCCAUUUGUCUUCUGCACUUCUAGCUUGAUUGCAUAGGUGUGCUUGACUUUAUGCAGUUUCUGUGAAACAUUCUGCAUAUCAUAGAACACAGUGAAUUUACUUAGGCACUUAUUACAUAAAGGAAGGACUAAGGGAUGUGAAAUAAUUUUAAUCUACGUUUUACCAUUUUAAAUUUGCAUUUCCAAUAGAUGCAUUUCAUUCUCUAGCUUUCUGCUUUAGGGCAGCAUCUAAGUCUGAUUUUCAGGAAACAGGCAUUAGAAGUGUUGGGGAAGUUUGUUAAAAAUCUAACAGAAAAAGCAACAGAUGCUUGGGCUCCCACCCCAGAUCAACAGACUUGUCAUUUCAGAGGUCUGGGAAAUUGAUUUUAACAAGCUUCCUGACCCUUCCACCUCCCCCAUGGUGAUUUGGAACACAUCAAUAUAUUUAUGGUCUCACAUUCUGUGUUGUUUCUCUGGUGGGGGAAGGAGGAAGGAGAGAGAGAUGGGAGGGGAGAGAGGGAAAGAGAGAAAUUCUCGGUUUUGCUCCAAACCAUGGACAAAGAGAGAGUAACCUCUGUUGAAAGGAGGGCGGAGAAGGGGACGGCAGAGGAUGAGAUGGUUGGAUGGCAUCACCGAUUCAAUGGACAUGGGUUUGAGCAAGCUCUGGCAGAUGGUGAGGGACUGGGAGGCCUGGCGUGCUGCAGUCUGUGGGGUUGCAAAGAGUUGGACGCAACCACUGAACAACAACAACAAACCUCUGUUGAUGGUUUCUUGCCUCCUGAAAUGAACAAGGAAACAGUUGAAGAAAUCCUGGGUGUUUUUGUAAAGGGCACGCGCUCGUUGGGUGGGCUGAUAAACCUGGGGCUGAAAACAUUUGAAACGGCAAAUUUUCAAAACCAUGAAUAUUUGGAAUUUUUAAAAAUAAAUAGGAGCACACUAUCACAGUUACCAUAGUUUGAAUCCUAGUAAUUUAGAAUUUGUGAUUCUUUAGAGAUAAAUAUAAACUUGAUUCUUGUCAAAUAAAAUAUUUGGAAUUUUAAAAAAUCUGCAGAAUAUCCAAACCAAGAGUCAGUGUUCCAAGGUUUCAUAAAUUAAGGAUUUUAAAAGAUAUAUAAAUUCUUGAAUUCAGCCAUUAAUUGUGCCUGUUAACAGGAUUUUAUAAUGUUAACUAGGUAAUAUAGGUUAUAUUUAUAAUUUCUCUUAAUCUCAUCUAAUUUAGUCAUACCUCUAUAGAUCUUAGUUUACAUUAUAUACUGUAUAAAGGCAAAUUACAUCAAAAUAUUGUCUUUUUUGGCUGAAGUUGGGUCUACCUAACAGUCUUAAUUUAGCAUUCUCAAUCCUUGCAUGAAAUUGGAUUUGAAGGGAAAUCAUUUAGGUGGCUCUAAAAGGAAUAGGGAGCGUUGCAUAAGAGUUGUGUUUGUGGUCUCCAACCAAGUUCCCUCUGCCUGUGGGCCCAGCUCUGGCCUCUGGGUGGAGGUGCGUGGGGGAGGUCUCUCGGGGAUUCCGUCUUGGUUCACUACUGUGGCGAGGCUGACGGCAUGCUUUCCCAGGCCUGGAGGCUUCCAACCUUGGGGUGAUGUGCAGUUUCACUCCCUUGUCUAGCCCAUCAUGACUUCCUGUUCUUUUUCUGUAAUGUUUUUCAGAUCCGCUCCUUCCUGUUUCUUUCCCCAGCCUGAUUCUGGUCCAGGCUCUAAUUACCUCACACACACCUGCACUCUACUCACAUCCUCUUUCCUGUCUGCAACUUUUCCUCUCACCAUAUUUUUUUCUUCACAUGGUUGUUAGAAUCCUCUUCCUUAAGCAUCCUUUCCAUCACACGCCUCUCCCAGCAGCUCCCAGUUGCGUCAAAUGCAAGCUCCAGUCCUCUCUCAUUGCCCAGACCAUUAUCUCCUUGACAGCUGGACCCCACUCCAGCCAAACAAAUGUCCUGACACGAUGUCUAUACAAUGCUACAACAUCUGGUUAAUUCAGUCAACUCUGUCAGAUCUUCAGUUAAUCAUCUGGAUGUUUUGUCUACAGGACGCCAAACAUCUGGAUUGACUGAAGAAAUCUAUGCUGAUAGAGUUUUUUUUUUUAAACUGAAUUGACCAGAUGUUUUGGCAUCAUGUAGACACAUCACUGUCUCCUGCAUUUGUCUUAAUGGCUUGUCUGCAUAACGUUCUCUCCACCUGCAACAUGACCUGUCUCCUCAAUGCCAUGUUCUCCCUUCCUUCCAAAUUAUGGUCAGAAUUCCCUCCGCCACAAAGCAGUUCUAGACUAAUCCCACUAAACCACAGUCUGUGUUCAUUCUAGCACUCACUUCAUUUUUACACAUAUAACUCUUGUCAAUUGAAGUCACUGUGUUGUGUCUUUCUUCUGGGCUGUUAGCCUUCUUUGGAUUGUAACCCUAUAGGUAUACGAGAGGUGUACUGUAAAGCAGUCUGGUUUGUAUAGCAAGAGGCGUGGUAGUCUAGUGACCAACUCAAAACUCUGGGUUCAGUCUUGUUUUAGAUUUCAGCAAGCUGCUUUGCUUCAUGUGUGACCUGGACACAUUACUUAACUUUGCUAAGCUUCAAGUCUCCUCCUCAUUUGUAAAAUGAAGACAACAGUAGAGCCAAUCUCAUAGAGUUGUUUAUAAGGAUUAAAAGAGUUAAUACAGAUAAAGUACUUAGAAGAGUGUCUGGCAUAAAGGAGGCAUCCAUUAAAUGUUAGCUGUUAUCAUUAUAUGCUUUAUAAAGCUUGGUUUUUGUGUUUAUCCCUUCUUUUGACUGUGACAGGUAGGUAAGGCAGCUGAUACUGUUCCCAUGUGAGAGGAGAAAAGUGAUAUUAAGAGGUUAUAUUGUUUUUCUGUUAAAUCAGUUGCAUGUCUGAAGCCUUAUACACAUUACACGUCUGGCUUUCUACAUAUUACCUAUUGGCCCUCGGCUCCCUCCCAUCUCAGGAGUUAGAAUAUCGCUUUCUAUAAAGAGCAUGUACUCAAGGAAGCCAUGUAUGUUUUCCUACAGACCAGAGGUCUCUCCAAAUGCUCUUUGGAUCUGUGCCCACCUGUGACAAAGUAUCUUAUAGUAGAAAGAGAAAAGGACAAUGUAGUAAGUUUUCCUAAAGUUAAAUUUCUUCAAAUGUUAGAGCUGUUACUGAACUGAAGUUAUAACCUUCCUUCAUUUUUAGUAUAAAAAUCUCCUAACUUUCUGAAAUGAUGGUAAUCCAGUUCAGUUCAGUUGCUCAGUCGUGUCCGACUCCUUGCGACCCCAUGAAUUGCAGCACGCCAGGCCUCCCUGUCCAUCACCAUCUCCUGGAGUUCACCCAGACUCACG